rnacentral:rRNA from 1 species
CGCGAGUAUUCAGAGUUUGAUCCUGGCUCAGGAUGAACGCUGGCGGCGUGCAUAACACAUUCAAGUCGAACGGAGUUAUAGGAGAGCUUGCUCGAAUAUAACUUAGUGGCGGACGGGUGAGUAACGCGUGAGCAACCUGCCUCUGUGUGGGGGAUAACGACGGGAAACUGUCGCUAAUACCGCAUAAAGUGACCAAUUCGCAUGGAUAAGGCCACCAAAGAUUUAUUGCACAGAGAUGGGCUCGCGUCUGAUUAGGUAGUUGGUGAGGCAACGGCUCACCAAGCCGACGAUCAGUAGCCGGACUGAGAGGUUGAACGGCCACAUUGGAACUGAGAAACGGUCCAG